UUUUUUUUGCACGAGAAGAACGUCGUCCAUUCUACAAACCGUAUUCAUCCAUAACCCGCUCUCUUUUAGCGGUGAAAUACUGAUAACGUGUAGCUAGUUGCCGGAGAAUAUUACGUUCGAAAACAUAGCUGAGAACAUCAAGCUGGUCAACUUGAUUAAGUAGGCUGUUUUGGGACGCUCCCGACCGACUGGAAACCAAGUAAACGAAAACGUUACAGAACGUGAGCCACAUGAGUUCUGACGCUAAGCCCGAGCCUAAAAAAGCCAAAAUGGAGAAUGAAAGCAAGUAUCUCCCUGAGCUUCUGGCAGAAAAAGACAGUCUGGAUUCUUCAUUCACACAUGCAAUGAAACUUAUAUCUACAGAGAUAGAAAGGAUUCAGAAAGGAGAGACAAAGAAAGAGACUGAAAGAGAAACUUACCUGGACCUGUUUACCACAAAGAACAUCAAGGUCAAGGAACGUGUACUCAUUCCAGUCAAACAGUACCCAAGGUUCAACUUUGUUGGUAAGAUUUUGGGACCCCAGGGGAACACAAUCAAGCGCCUCCAGGAGGAAACUGGAGCAAAGAUCUCAGUAUUGGGCAAAGGUUCCAUGAGGGACAAGGUGAAGGAGGAAGAGCUGAGAAAGGGUGGUGAGCCCAAAUAUGCUCAUCUGGGCAUGGAACUGCAUGUCUUCAUAGAGGUGUUUGCUCCUAUACCUGAGGCAUACCUGCGCAUGGCUCACGCCAUGGACGAGGUCAAGAAGUUCCUCAUCCCUCAGGACACCAUGGAUGGUAUAUGCCAGGAUCAGUUCAUGGAGAUUGGCUACCUGAAUGGCGGUCAAGAUUCACAAUCCAGGGGACGAGGGGGCCCUCCAGGCAGGGGCAGGGGAGCACCACCACCCAAUUCAGUAGGAGCCAGGGGGCGAGGAAUGCUACCUCGUGGAGGAGCCCCUCGUGGAGGCACCCAACGUGGUGGAGCUUCCCGAGGAGGACCUCCCAGGGGUGGGUCGGCCAGAGGGGCUCCAGCUGGCCGAGGUGGACCCCCCUCUACACCUGCUAGAGGAGGCACUACACCCCGUUCCAGACCACCCACCCCAGGGACACCAAGGAUGCUCCCGUCCCCAGCCCACUCCCACCAGCAGCACCAGCACCAACAUGCCCCACCACCCAAGGCUGAGGCCUACAAUGAAUAUCCUGCCUAUGAAGAAAGCUACGCUGAGCCUGCAUAUGAAGGUUAUGACAACUAUUACAGUCAACAACCUCCACAAGCGGACACAGAGUACUAUGACUACGGACAUGGAGAGGCUCAGGAGGCUUAUGAACCCUAUGCCCAAGAUGAUUGGGAGGGUUCCUGGUCCUCCACUGGAGGCAAAGCCCCUCCAGCGAGGCAGGAUAAGAGGGGGGCCUACAGAGAGCAUCCAUACGGAAGAUACUGAACAGUCUCCGGUAGAGGGUUGCCAUGGCAACUGUCUCCCAUUGUAACUCACUUAACUCUCCAAAGUAAUUUCCCUAAAUGUUUUUCUUUUAAAUUUUCUGUAGUUUUUUUGUUUUUUAAUGAUUUGAGAGCAGGACAACUGGAUGUAUCGUAUCGGGUGGGCGUAGCAAGCGAAUGCAAGGAUUUGGAUAAUACGUUAUCAUUCAAUGUUUCCACUGCAUCAUUGACAGUUUUAAGAUCUAAUUUAAUGGUUACUUAGAGAAACGUGAUACCUUGUAUAGUGUUAAAUGUUAUUUUGAAGGUUUGUUUCAGUUUGUCUUGAAAUGAUUUGUGGCAGUUGCAGUCUCAUUUAGGCUGCAUUUCUAAAGUAUUUUUUAGCUAAAACUUGAUUAAUGACGUCAAUGUAACAUCGGCAACUAGAUUAAGAAUAUAUGGGGAAGAACCAAAAUAAUUUUCUAGAAAAAUCAUUUUUGCAGAAACUAACAUUCCCUAUAGAGGCAUAGAUUUCAAUGUUUUUUUUUUCUUAGGGUUUUGAAAUCUAGCCUUAUUAGAUACUGAGACAGUCUGUCCUAAAAUAUCUCCUUUAAGUAUUUUCAAUUCGACUUGGUUGUAAGUACAUUCUACUUUAGAUAACUUUUGCUUGGCUUACUUUGGUCUACAUCUUAUUGGGCUGACUUUGAUAGAAAUGCUGAUAAAUUACUCACUUUGAGUGGUUCUACAAGAAUUUGGACAUGGUCCUCACAUGGUCUUCAUGUAAGGGAAAACUGCAGCCAUCUCAAUAUUAUAUGCAUACACUUAAGAAAGUUCUGUAUAUUGCUUUCUAAAGUUGUGCCGUCUCCAAAAUGCAUAGUGCUACGUACAUGUGUACUCUUGCCUAAAUAGGAUACUAAAUAUAUCCAAAAAAAUGUUUCUCUGCAGUGCGUUGUAUCAAUAAAGCCUAAUUUGUUUUGUUUUUUUAUCAAACUAAACCUGGUAUUUUGCUUUUGUUGUAUAGUAAUGCCUUCCACUUCUAAUAAAACUGAUUCUCGUUGAGGAUUUUCACAAAACUCCUAAACAAUCACCAGAAUAUUGUAUGUACAUAGGAGACAAAAGCAACCAAAAAGAACAUCUGCUUUACUUUGAUAAAGAGCACGUCCUCUUCAUCUCUCUGUAUUAAAAAGGAUCUAGAAGAGACUCGUUAUGUCACCUAAAAUAAAGAUGGUACCUUAAUCAAGGUAAUGUAUUUCCAAAUACUUCGCUUGAGAAGGGUAUAGUGCUUGGACUUGUAGUAUUUGAAAUCAAUCGUUACAACGGAACAUUUCCUCAAGCUUCCAAAUGAGCCAUGUAUUUUUAGUCCUUUGAAGUAACUGAUUUUCAACCGUAUUUACAAUCAAGCUUGCAGGGAUCUUACUUGACUUUGAUGCAAAGUCAUGCUGGCUGGUUUUAUUAAAGAAAAAUAUCGCAGUGCAGAGGAGAGGAUGCUAAAAGCCAAAAGAUCACGUCAAGAAGGUAUUCUGAGUUAGUCCUUCUGGGUUUGAAAGGCAUUGGACUUGAGCUGAAUGUCCUCAUGGUAUAAUCCUGUGAAAGGCCUUAGACUGCACUGAUAAAAGGCUCCUGGCAGUCUGGCGUUGUUGGGGAUUUAAAUGUCUGGACUGCCAUGGUUUCUUUCGCUUGAGAUUCAACAGUUUGUUAGAAAUGAUGAUAAAAGAAUGAGCUCGUUCCAUCACUUCAGCAUAAUGGCACUCCCUGGUAUACAGUUUAUUCUCGCCCAGUCUCCAGAGAAAUCAACAUUAGGCCUACAGUGCAUUCAACUUGAGUUGGGAUGAAAUCAUGGUCUGGUUCCCGACAAAGCAGCUUGGCGAAUGCUCCAAGAGUACAGUACGAGGAACUGAGUUGGUGUGUCAUCUUCCUUUGGCUCCUGAUAGAUUUCCGUGACUAAACAUUUUUUUUACUUCACUUUUUUUACAUUUUUAAAUAUGUUGACAUUUUGUGUAUUUGUGAAAAUGUAGUUGCCACAGGAAGUUCUUGGAUGUUUUCUGUACAGACUUAAUUUUAUAUAUCUGAAAUAAAUCCCAAUAUCCUGA